rnacentral:misc_RNA from 1 species
UGCUGGAUCAUUACAGUUUCAUACCUUGACGAACACACUAAUUUAGUGUGGUGGGUUGAUAUCUAUGCUUUUUGAUAUCACCCAAAAAAGUCCAUAAAGUUGACAUGACGGUUUUGGCUUGCUUCGGUCAAACUAUUGUGGCAACGAUCAUUGCCUUACGUCCCGGCAUUGAUCAGUCUUGUUUAUGGGCGAAAAACGGCUUCUCUUGGCUUCUAGGCAUUGCUGAGCAACUGUUGUCUUUCGUCCGUGGUUGUGUUGAAGCAUGCGUAACGCUCCAUCGCUACUCGACUGUACGAUGUGAGUGAGAAUUAAUGAGUGCCAGUAAGGUGCCGCCAAGAACAAACAAUUUUCAACAAUUUUUCGAGUGAAUGAAAGUAUCUAGUCUUAUCGGUGGAUCACUCGGUUCGUAGGUCGAUGAAGAACGCAGCCAACUGCGAUAACUAGUGCGAACUGCAGAUAUUUUGAGCACUAAGAUUUCGAAUGCACAUUGCGCCAUUGGAUUCAUAUCCUUUGGCACAUCUGGUUCAGGGUUGUAAAUAAAAAACGAAAGCCUCCUUCGUUUUCAAUGAUCGCUGGAUCACCUGACGCAAUCUUCAGCUGUCUUCUGCUGUUGAGCUCGUCGCGGUGUUCUUGUGUGUUUGAAUGCAAAUGUAAAGGCGGCUAGUUGAUGCUUUUGGUGUCGGGUCACUGCUUGUUUCGAUCUGUCCUAAUCGUAUCGCUAUGCUUCCACGUUACAUUCAUUUUGCAACCUGAACUCAGGUGUGAGUACCUGCUGAACUUAAGCAUAUCAGUAAGCAGAGGAAAAGAAACUAACAAGGAUUCCCGUAGUAACGGCGAGUGAAUUGGGAAAAGUCCAGCGCUGAAUCUUAAUGUGUUGAGCAUUUAGAACUGUAGCGUAUAGACGGUGUAUUCCUAAGUUGGUGGCAGUUUAAAUCUCCCUUGACUGGGGUUCCAGAGAAGGUGAAAGGCCUGUUGAACUGCUGCCGGCUGUGGAGUCAACUGUCUUGGAGUCGGGUUGUUUGGGAACGCAGCCCAAAGAAGGUGGUAAACUUCAUCUAAGACUAAAUAUGACUACGAAACCGAUAGCGAACAAGUACCGUGAGGGAAAGUUGCAAAGCACUUUGAAGAGAGAGUUAAAGAGGACGUGAAACCGAUAAGGUGGAAACGGAUAGAGCCAACGUAUCUGGCUUGCAUUCAGCUGUUAUAUGGGUUCGGACUGGCCUGGCGAUCCUGCUUCUGGUUGCCUCGUAGGUCGUAAGUAGCUCAAAUGGUAGUGCAUUUGCAAGUGGAGUGCGCUGAGGUGUGUGGAGCAGCGAUUCGAUCUUUGUCUUGAGGACACUUUAUGUGAACCCCAGGCGCUGGGAAAAUUGUUUGCUCUGCAUUACCGCCAAAGGAGAGGCCUCUGGUGAAUUGGAGUUUAAUCGCGUGGACUGCUUGUAACGGCCGCAUGCGACGCGUGCUCGUUGUCUAUGUGAUUGGAUUUCAUUUCCCUUCUCCGGUGGAUCUCGGUGUAAAAGUUGGUCAUCUAUCCGACCCGUCUUGAAACACGGACCAAGGAGUUUAGCGUAUGCGCGAGUCAUUGAGUGUUGAAACUCAAAGGCGUAAUGAAAGUGAAUUGAAAAUGAUAUGCGAUCCUGUAUGCCUCGGCGUGCGGGAGCAGCAUAGCCCCGUCCCGAUCGCUUGCGAUGGGGCGGAGGUAGAGCGUAUUCGCUGAGACCCGAAAGAUGGUGAACUAUUCCUGAGCAGGAUGAAGCCAGAGGAAACUCUGGUGGAAGUCCGAAGCGGUUCUGACGUGCAAAUCGAUCGUCUGACUUGGGUAUAGGGGCGAAAGACUAAUCGAACCAUCUAGUAGCUGGUUCCCUC